rnacentral:rRNA from 1 species
CCAGACUCCUACGGGAGGCAGCAGUGAGGAAUAUUGGUCAAUGGCCGCAGGGCUGAACCAGCCAAGUCGCGUGAGGGAUGACGGUCCUAUGGAUUGUAAACCUCUUUUGUCAGGGAGCAAAGGGGGCCACGUGUGGCGCUUUGCGAGUACCUGAAGAAAAAGUAUCGGCUAACUCCGUGCCAGCAGCCGCGGUAAUACGGAGGAUGCGAGCGUUAUCCGGAUUUAUUGGGUUUAAAGGGUGCGCAGGCGGAAUGUCAAGUCAGCGUUAAAACUUCGGGGUUCACCCCCGUCGUGCCGUUGAAACUGGCGAUCUUGAGUGAGCGAGAAGUGUGCGGAAUGCGUGGUGUAGCGGUGAAAUGCGUAGAGAUCUCGCGGAACACCGAUAGCGAAGGCGGCACACCGGCGCUCAACUGACGCUCAGGCGCGAAAGCGUGGGUAUCGAACAGGAUUAGAUACCCCGGUACA